rnacentral:rRNA from 1 species
UGGGGAAUAUUGCGCAAUGGGGGAAACCCUGACGCAGCGACGCCGCGUGAGCGAUGGAGGCCUUAGGGUUGUAAAGCUCUGUUUUAAGGGACGAAUGUUACGGGGAGUAAUAUGCCCUGUAAAUGACGGUACCUUAAGAGGAAGCCCCGGCUAACUACGUGCCAGCAGCCGCGGUAAGACGUAGGGGGCGAGCGUUGUCCGGAAUUACUGGGCGUAAAGAGCACGUAGGCGGGACUUUAAGUCAGGUGUGAAAGACCGGGGCUCAACCUCGGGGUGGCACUUGAAACUGGGGUUCUUGAGGGCAGGAGAGGAAAGUAGAAUUCCUGGUGUAGCGGUGAAAUGCGUAGAAAUCAGGAGGAAUACCAGUGGCGAAGGCGACUUUCUGGACUGACCCUGACGCUGAGGUGCGAAAGCGUGGGUAGCAAACA